GACGAACGCUGGCGGCGUGCCUAAUACAUGCAAGUAGAACGCUGAAGCGAGGAGCUUGCUCUUCUUGGAUGAGUUGCGAACGGGUGAGUAACGCGUAGGUAACCUGCCUUGUAGCGGGGGAUAACUAUUGGAAACGAUAGCUAAUACCGCAUAACAAUGGAUGACACAUGUCAUUUAUUUGAAAGGGGCAAUUGCUCCACUACAAGAUGGACCUGCGUUGUAUUAGCUAGUAGGUGAGGUAAUGGCUCACCUAGGCGACGAUACAUAGCCGACCUGAGAGGGUGAUCGGCCACACUGGGACUGAGACACGGCCCAGACUCCUACGGGAGGCAGCAGUAGGGAAUCUUCGGCAAUGGGGGCAACCCUGACCGAGCAACGCCGCGUGAGUGAAGAAGGGUUUCGGAUCGUAAAGCUCUGUUGUAAGUCAAGAACGGGUGUGAGAGUGGAAAGUUCACACUGUGACGGUAGCUGACCAGAAAGAGACGGCUAACUACGUG
rnacentral:rRNA from 1 species